rnacentral:rRNA from 1 species
GACGAACGCUGGCGGCGUGCUUAACACAUGCAGGUCGAGCGGUAAGGCCCUUUCGGGGGUACACGAGCGGCGAACGGGUGAGUAACACGUGGGUGACCUGCCCUCAGCUCUGGGAUAAGCCUGGGAAACUGGGUCUAAUACUGGAUAUGACUCCACGGUGCAUGUCGUGGGGUGGAAAGCCUUGUGCGGCUGAGGAUGGGCCCGCGGCCUAUCAGCUUGUUGGUGGGGUGANGGCCUACCAAGGCGACGACGGGUAGCCGGCCUGAGAGGGCGACCGGCCACACUGGGACUGAGACACGGCCCAGACUCCUACGGGAGGCAGCAGUGGGGAAUCUUGCGCAAUGGGCGAAAGCCUGACGCAGCGACGCCGCGUGAGGGAUGACGGCCUGGU